GAUGAACGCUGGCGGCGUGCCUAAUACAUGCAAGUCGAGCGAACAGACGAGGAGCUUGCUCCUUUGACGUUAGCGGCGGACGGGUGAGUAACACGUAGGUAACCUACCUAUAAGACUGGGAUAACUUCGGGAAACCGGAGCUAAUACCGGAUAAUAUUUCGAACCGCAUGGUUCGAUAGUGAAAGAUGGCUUUGCUAUCACUUAUAGAUGGACCUGCGCCGUAUUAGCUAGUUGGUAAGGUAACGGCUUACCAAGGCAACGAUACGUAGCCGACCUGAGAGGGUGAUCGGCCACACUGGAACUGAGACACGGUCCAGACUCCUACGGGAGGCAGCAGUAGGGAAUCUUCCGCAAUGGGCGAAAGCCUGACGGAGCAACGCCGCGUGAGUGAUGAAAGUCUUCGGAUCGUAAAACUCUGUUAUUAGGGAAGAACAAACGUGUAAGUAACUGUGCACGUCUUGGCGGUACCUAAUCAGAAAGCCACGGCUAACUACGUG
rnacentral:rRNA from 1 species